GCCAAGUUAGUCUAAUGGUAGGGCGCCUGAGGGACGGCACCUCUGACCUUCAGGGAUCCCAGGCGGUCCAGGUUCGAUUCCUGGGCUUGGUA
rfam:Penicillium chrysogenum Wisconsin 54-1255 complete genome, contig Pc00c12